rnacentral:tmRNA from 1 species
UCACUUCACAUUCAGGAUCAAGGCCCUAUAUGGGCAAGUGCCGGCUUAGGCCGGAUAUGAUGAUAAAUUGUUACGUACAAUAGAUGCAGCGGACCCGGGGGCGGUACCCGGCGGCUCCACCAUCACCCGUUCCGAAAGGAACAACCCCGUUGUCGCGGGGGUGAUGACGGGGCCGAACUAGGAUCGACGUGUGUUGAAAAGCGUAGUUUUCAUUCGGGCUGAGUAACCCGUUCAAGGCUCAAAACUCAUAAGUGCCAACGACAACGACGCACUUGCUCUCGCAGCGUAAUUCUAGGGGCUAACGCCCUGAAGUUACAAAGUUAGAACACGGCUGGGCCCGCCGGGUAACAGAAGGGAUUCCAGGGGCCCGGGGUGAGCCUGUCAACAGAAUCACCCCACC